rnacentral:rRNA from 1 species
AACGGAGGAUGCUAGCGUUAUCCGGAAUGAUUGGGCGUAAAGCGUCCGCAGGUGGCAGUUCAAGUCUGCUGUCAAAGACCGGGGCUUAACUUCGGAAAGGCAGUGGAAACUGAACAGCUAGAGUAUGGUAGGGGCAGAGGGAAUUCCCGGUGUAGCGGUGAAAUGCGUAGAGAUCGGGAAGAACAUCGGUGGCGAAGGCGCUCUGCUGGACCAUAACUGACACUCAGGGACGAAAGCUAGGGGAGCGAAUGGG